AACGAACGCUGGCGGCAUGCCUAACACAUGCAAGUCGAACGAGACCUUCGGGUCUAGUGGCGCACGGGUGCGUAACGCGUGGGAACCUGCCUUUAGGUUCGGAAUAACUCAGAGAAAUUUGAGCUAAUACCGGAUGAUGUCUUCGGACCAAAGAUUUAUCGCCUUUAGAUGGGCCCGCGUUGGAUUAGCUAGUUGGUGGGGUAAAGGCCUACCAAGGCGACGAUCCAUAGCUGGUCUGAGAGGAUGAUCAGCCACACUGGGACUGAGACACGGCCCAGACUCAUACGGGAGGCAGCAGUGGGGAAUAUUGGACAAUGGGCGAAAGCCUGAUCCAGCAAUGCCGCGUGAGUGAUGAAGGCCUUAGGGUUGUAAAGCUCUUUUACCCGAGAUGAUAAUGACAGUAUCGGGAGAAUAAGCUCCGGCUAACUCCGUG
rnacentral:rRNA from 1 species